GCAAAGGUUUCCUCGGGCCAGACAGACAUUGGUCCUCGAGUGCAAAGGCAGAAGGGAGCUUGACUACAAGACUCACCCGUCGAGCAGAGACGAAAGUCGGUCUUAGUUAGUCUUCGGGACGGAGUGGAAGAAGGGCGGAG
rnacentral:ncRNA from 1 species